rnacentral:rRNA from 1 species
GACGAACGCUGGCGGCGUGCUUAACACAUGCAAGUCGAACGGAAAGGCCCUGCUUUUGUGGGGUGCUCGAGUGGCGAACGGGUGAGUAACACGUGAGUAACCUGCCCUUGACUUUGGGAUAACUUCAGGAAACUGGGGCUAAUACCGGAUAGGAGCUCCUGCUGCAUGGUGGGGGUUGGAAAGUUUCGGCGGUUGGGGAUGGACUCGCGGCUUAUCAGCUUGUUGGUGGGGUAGUGGCUUACCAAGGCUUUGACGGGUAGCCGGCCUGAGAGGGUGACCGGCGACAUUGGGACUGAGAGACGGCCCAGACGCCUACGGGAGGCAGCAGUGGGGAAUAUUGCACAAUGGGCGGAAGCCUGAGGCAGCAGCGCCGCGUGCGGGAUGACGGCCUUCGGGUUGUAAACCGCUUUCGCCUGUGACGAAGCGUGAGUGACGGUAAUGGGUAAAGAAGCACCGGCUAACUACGUG